ACAAGGCAGACGGCUCAGUAACGCGUAGUCAACCUACCCUAUGGACGGGGAUAACCUCGGGAAACUGAGAAUAAUACCCGAUAGAACAUUAUGCCUGGAAUGGUUUAUGUUUCAAAUAAUUUAUUGCCGUAGGAUGGGACUGCGGCCUAUCAGUUUGUUGGUGAGGUAAUGGCCCACCAAGACUAUUACAGGUACGGGCUCUGAGAGGAGUAGCCCGGAGAUGGGUACUGAGACACGGACCCAGGCCCUAUGGGGCGCAGCAGGCGAGAAAACUUUGCAAUGUGCGAAAGCACGACAAGGUUAAUCCGAGUGGUUUCUGCUAAAGGAACCUUUUGUCAGUCCUAGAAACACUGGUGAAUAAGGGGUGGGCAAGUUCUGGUGUCAGCCGCCGCGGUAAAACCAGCACCUCAAGUGGUCAGGAUGAUUAUUGGGCCUAAAGCAUCCGUAGCCUGCUUUGUUAGUUUUCGGUUAAAUCCAUACGCUCAACGUAUGGGCUGCCGGGAAUACUGCAAAGCUAGGGAGUGGGAGAGGUAGACGGUACUCGGUAGGAAGGGGUAAAAUCCUUUGAUCUAUUGAUGACCACCUGUGGCGAAGGCGGUCUACCAGAACACGUCCGACGGUGAGGGAUGAAAGCUGGGGGAGCAAACCGGAUUAGAUACCCGGGUAGUCCCAGCUGUAAACUAUGCAAACUCAGUGAUGCAUUGGCUUGAUGCCA
rnacentral:rRNA from 1 species